AGUCUGAUGGUAUCAUCAAUCGGUAUAUGUGUUCAUGCAACCUCACACGUAUUUGCCUCCAAGUUUACCACUAAUAUAUAUAUUAAUCAGUAUUUCUCCAUACUUACCACAAAGAAUAAUAACACAUUUUGCGCUCUGCAAUGUUUUAAAUGGAACAUAUUUUAUUCAGUAUGUCAAUGCCAGCAUGUGACAUCUCAGUUGAAUCCUUGACCUAAACCAACAAAUAGCGGAAUGCGAUCAAUUCCAAAUGAAUUGAUACAAUUAUUUCCAUAGAAGUCGACGAGAUUUGAUUGGAUUUGUACUAAUUGAGAUGUGCCUUAAGCCUCCAUCCACUUCACAAUGGCCCACUCAAAGGACUGUUUUCUACGUGACUACACCUACAUAAAAUCCACAACCUACAAUUCAAGCGAGGACAAACGAUUCUUCUCGAAUUUAGUCGUUUUCCUUCGCCGUAAUGCGAGAGAGCAAUAACGCAAAAUGGUCACGUUUCUAAUAAUGAGGAAAGAAGAUAUUGUCCUAGAUUUUCUGCUGCUGCUGCUGCUGCUGGAAAGGCACUGAUGCAGUGAGAAGCCGGUGAAGGUAAAAUCAUAAUUAAUAUGACGGUCGUGGACUUUAUUUUACAUUCAUGUGGCUUACGUUAAUUGUGUCAGCUCGUAUACUGCGUUUGGUAUUGAACUGUGGAAAAAAAAUACGGAUGACGUGAUGGAGUAAAGUGCAAAUUCGCACUAUACAUGACUGAAACACCUGCUUCAGCUGCUGGUAAUCCCCUCUAAAAUAAUGCCGAUUGUUUUUCUGCUCUGGAUUAGUUGUUCUAAAAUUUUGAAAAUCCGGAAACACGGUUAACAAAAAAUAUAUUCUAACACUACAUAUAUAUUAUAAUAUAAUAGGCGCAAAUAACGCAUAAAUCACACCUCAAAAGAAUUAAUUUCAGUUCUGUUUUUACGCAAAUUCUGUUUACUUCUGGAAAAGCUGAAAUACGUUUUCUGAGUGCGCCGUGCUUGUGCUA